rnacentral:rRNA from 1 species
UACGUAGGGCGCAAGCGUUGUCCAGAAUUAUUGGGCGUAAAGAGCUCGUAGGCGGUCUGUCGCGUCGAUCGUGAAAACUUGGGGCUCAACCCUGAGCUUGCGGUCGAUACGGGCAUGACUGGAGUUCGGCAGGGGAGACUGGAAUUCCUGGUGUAGCGGUGAAAUGCGCAGAUAUCAGGAGGAACACCGGUGGCGAAGGCGGGGUCUCUGGGCCGAUACUGACGCUGAGGAGCGAAAGCGUGGGGAGCGAACAGG